rfam:Gossypium arboreum cultivar AKA8401 contig_169967_1, whole genome shotgun sequence.
AACCCAUGGUGAGGGCACCUUCUCAGCAAGUCCUUGUAUCUCUCCCAUGCAUCGUAAGUGUUUCUGAAUCCAUCUGCACAAAAGAAGAGAUAUCCUUACGUCAUU